UCCUUAGAUGUCCUGGGCUGCACGCGUGCUACAAUGAUACGUGCAACGAGUUAAUCCUGCUCUGAAAGGAGUGGGUAAUCUUAUGAAUGCGUAUCGUGCUUGGGAUUGACCAUUGUAAUUAUUGGUCAUGAACGAGGAAUUCCUAGUAAGCACAAGUCAUCAGCUUGUGCUGAUUACGUCCCUGCCCUUUGUACACACCGCCCGUCGCUCCUACCGAUUGAGUGUUCCGGUGAAUUAUUCGGACUGCAACAGUUAUCUGUCGCGGAAAGUCUUGUGAACCUUAACACUUAGAGGAAGGAAAAGUCGUAACA
rnacentral:rRNA from 1 species